GACGAACGCUGGCGGCGUGCUUAACACAUGCAAGUCGAGCGGAAAGGCCCUUUCGGGGGUACUCGAGCGGCGAACGGGUGAGUAACACGUGAGUAAUCUGCCCUUCACUUGGGGAUAACCUCCGGAAACGGUGGCUAAUACCCGAUACGACCAUUCCUCGCAUGAGGUGGUGGUGGAAAGUUUUUCGGUGGGGGAUGUGCUCGCGGCCUAUCAGCUUGUUGGUGGGGUAAUGGCCUACCAAGGCUUCGACGGGUAGCCGGCCUGAGAGGGUGACCGGCCACACUGGGACUGAGACACGGCCCAGACUCCUACGGGAGGCAGCAGUGGGGAAUAUUGGACAAUGGGCGGAAGCCUGAUCCAGCAACGCCGCGUGAGGGAUGACGGCCUUCGGGUUGUAAACCUCUUUCACCUGUGACGAAGCGAAAGUGACGGUAGCAGGAGAAGAAGCACCGGCCAACUACGUG
rnacentral:rRNA from 1 species